CAGUUUCGUUUAUGUUGCUGGGCUCUGGAGGCAAACAGAGCACGAAGAGGCAAGUACCAUGUCCCCAUGUCCCCAUGGGGCAGCGGUUUUGUCGCUGUUGAUGUUGUUACAGGGUGGUUAAGCUUCACCAGUGGCCUCCUUCCCGAGGCAGUUCCCUGCUCUCCCCUGCUAGAGGGGCACCCUAAUCCAUUCUCACCCCAUCCGAUUUAAGAAUGUACUCUUUAAGUUUGGCAACUCGCCACCAGCAUCCAACCAAAUCUAGCGGAUCAACGGCGCGUCAACUUAGUUCCUGGACAGCUCGCAAGUUGAUUUUAUCACGUCCUUUACCGUCCACAAGAUGUGGGGCCCCUUCCCAUUUCGUCACCUCUCAAACACCCCGAGAGGUCGGCAGGCGGAUUGAACCCGGACGCGCCGGGAGCAGAAGCCAGGCCUUAACCUCUGCCACUCGCCUGCCUGUUGUGGUAUAAAUAGCCGAAGCGAGGAUCAAAAACACGUGUUAUUGGAAUCCCCAGCCUAUAAUGAUAUUCGUGCUGAAGAGG
rnacentral:lncRNA from 1 species